rnacentral:sRNA from 1 species
UGAAACAAAUGCCUAUGGAAAUACACCUCUUCAUGUAGCCUGCUAUAAUGGACAAGAUGUUGUAGUGAAUGAACUUAUAGACUGUGGUGCUAUUGUAAAUCAAAAGAAUGAAAAAGGAUUUACUCCUUUGCACUUUGCUGCUGCAUCAACACAUGGAGCAUUGUGUUUAGAGCUUCUAGUUGGCAAUGGGGCCGAUGUCAAUAUGAAGGAGCUGUAAUCGACUGUGAGGAUAAGAAUGGAAAUACCCCUUUGCACAUAGCAGCACGGUAUGGCCAUGAGCUGCUGAUCAACACUCUUAUUACAAGUGGUGCUGACACUGCAAAGCGUGGCAUACAUGGAAUGUUCCCCCUCCAUUUGGCAGCCUUAAGCGGCUUUUCAGAUUGCUGCAGAAAACUUCUUUCUUCAGGAUUUGAUAUAGAUACCCCAGAUGAUUUUGGCAGGACUUGUCUACAUGCAGCUGCAGCUGGAGGGAAUUUGGAGUGCCUAAACCUUCUGCUGAAUACUGGUGCAGACUUUAAUAAAAAGGACAAAUUUGGGAG